UGGGGCUGAGCCCUUAACCUGUGGCGUCUGAUGGUCUCUCCAGGUAGACAGCAUCAGAAUUGAGUUGAAUUGUCGGACACCCAGCUGGUGCCGGAGAAACACUUGGGGGUGGGGAAAACACCCGCACGUUGGAAUUGGGGUGUAGAAUCGGAGGAACACACUUCUCUGAGUUCCCCUCUUUUUCAUAGUUUUGACAUUGAAUCGUGGAAAUGUUUUACAUAUCCAAAAAAAGUAAAGUUAAACCAGAAAAGAGAAAAAAGCAAACCUGAACUGGAAUACGAAUAGAAAAAAAAACAAACCUAAUUAUAUAUCAAAUCAGUAACAUUCCCGCACACACUGAAGAAUCCUUGAUUCCGGUACCCAUUAACGGAGCAUUCUCCAAGGAUAAAAAGAACAGCUCUCAAACCCUGACCUUUGCUAAGGCUUGUUGUAGGAGUGGUUUGAUGGCGUAUUUCUGAAAUAAUUGUGUGUAUGCUGCAGGAUACAUGUACUUUCUUGCAGUUUUAAAGAAGGGUGUGAUUUCCUUGAGCUCUCUGGGACUGCUUCUAGCAAAGCAAACAUUUUAAUAAGUAGACACUUAGCAACUGACCUGUCAGCACUUGGGAUCCAGACGGGCUGUGAAACCAGACUCCACCCCCAUCUCUGAGCGGUGAUGAGUCACUGAGUGGACAGCGCCCCCUGCAGGACACUGUUGGCCAAGAACGCGCCUCCUUCAGCAGCCCUUGGAUGUUAAUUACAAUUUUUCCAACACCAAAACUUGGUGGGACCCUAUUCCUUCGCCUAGGUGUCACUGGAGGAGGUCGACUGCGUUCAUAGAGUCUGUCUUUCCCAUGAUUCAGUUAUGGACCAGUGGAAAGGGCGGAGUUUACGAAGUCGGACGGAACAAAGUUAAUACAACACAAACGGAGGUCUUAACCGUGGAGAUAAUGAAAAGAUAUCAGCUCGCAGGCAGGGAAGGGGGACUGAGCGACCCCCCUGGGAUGACUGACAGCCUCCAGCCACCUCCCACGGACUCCCUAUCUCCAUCUCCUUGUGCCUGAAGCCCACAGCGAUGCCCUUAAGCAGGUGGACAGCAGCGGCUCAGGGGCUGGCGUGGGGUAGGUGCACAGUUCACCGCCAGGUGGCCGAAGGCUCUAGUUCAGAGCCUUACCUUGUUAGUCCAGCAGCAACUGUGCACCAACCUACUCAACACCCGCAAUGAAUGACAUUUGAAGCUCAGAACCGUGCCAGACUGAGGGGGGUGCAUGUGAAAUGCAUCUGCGUGGCUCUCUCCUUUAUUUACUGCUUACUACUUGCCAGUCACUGUGCUAAGCACUUGGCAAGUAUAAUGUGGAGGAGAGUUUUGAA